GAAAUGCGAUAAGUAAUGUGAAUUGCAGAAUUCAGUGAAUCAUCGAAUCUUUGAACGCACAUUGCGCUCGCCAGUAUUCUGGCGAGCAUGCCUGUUCGAGCGUCAUUUCAACCAUCAAGCUCUGCUUGCGUUGGGGAUCCGCGGCUGCCCGCGGUCCCUCAAAAACAGUGGCGGGCUCGCUAGUCACACCGAGCGUAGUAACUCUACGUCGCUAUGGUCGUGCGGCGGGUUCUUGCCGUAAAACCCCCAAUUUCUAAGGUUGACCUCGGAUCAGGUAGGAAUACCCGCUGAACUUAAGC
rnacentral:misc_RNA from 1 species